GAUGAACGCUGGCGGCGUGCCUAAUACAUGCAAGUCGAGCGAACAGACGAGGAGCUUGCUCCUCUGACGUUAGCGGCGGACGGGUGAGUAACACGUGGAUAACCUACCUAUAAGACUGGGAUAACUUCGGGAAACCGGAGCUAAUACCGGAUAACAUGGUGAACCGCAUGGUUCAACAGUGAAAGACGGUCUUGCUGUCACUUAUAGAUGGAUCCGCGCCGCAUUAGCUAGUUGGUAAGGUAACGGCCUACCAAGGCAACGAUGCGUAGCCGACCUGAGAGGGUGAUCGGCCACACUGGGACUGAGACACGGUCCAGACUCCUACGGGAGGCAGCAGUAGGGAAUCUUCCGCAAUGGGCGCAAGCCUGACGGAGCAACGCCGCGUGAGUGAGGAAGGUCUUCGGAUCGUAAAGCUCUGUUAUUAGGGAAGAACAGAUAUGGAAGUAACUAUGCACGUCUUGACGGUACCUAAGCAGAAAGCCACGGCUAACUACGUG
rnacentral:rRNA from 1 species